rnacentral:rRNA from 1 species
UGGGGAAUAUUGGACAAUGGGCGAAAGCCUGAUCCAGCAAUGCCGCGUGAGUGAAGAAGGCCUUCGGGUUGUAAAGCUCUUUUGUCCGGAAAGAAAAGUUCCCGGUUAAUACCCGGGGAUCAUGACGGUACCGGAAGAAUAAGCACCGGCUAACUACGUGCCAGCAGCCGCGGUAAUACGUAGGGUGCGAGCGUUAAUCGGAAUUACUGGGCGUAAAGCGUGCGCAGGCGGUUCUAUAAGACAGAUGUGAAAUCCCCGGGCUCAACCUGGGAAUGGCAUUUGUGACUGUAGAGCUAGAGUACGGUAGAGGGGGAUGGAAUUCCGCGUGUAGCAGUGAAAUGCGUAGAUAUGCGGAGGAACACCGAUGGCGAAGGCAAUCCCCUGGACCUGUACUGACGCUCAUGCACGAAAGCGUGGGGAGCAAA